UGUCAGGUUUCGUAGUACAUAUUAGAGCUGCCUGAAUCUAUUUUUAUAUAGUAAAUAAAAACAGUAUUAUUAUAAUAAUGUGAUGAUGCAACCCUAGCUGUCAUUUCAAUCAGAGUUGAGUAAAAUUGUUGGACUUUCACAUUGUGUCGCCAGUUGUUUUUACACAUCUCUCGCGUUAAGUUGAUAAUUUUGAAAAGAAGUGAGAUAAUACAAGUAACGCCGACUUGCGGGAAUAUUUAAUUUUUCUAUUAUUACAUUACUUACAUUUGUAAACUUUGUGAAAAUUUAAAGAAAUUAAAAUAAUAUAGUGUGGUCUAUUAAGGGAUAUCACACCUUUUGAAAUAGAGAAUAAAAAUUGUACAUAAAACCAAGGUCAGUGAAUAAGAUACGGAAUUGAAAGCAAAAUUUCGCUAAAACAGUGCAAAUAAAGGAACGUCAAAGAAAUUUAUGUUCAGGCCAAAUUUUUACAAAGACCGCUAAAAUCUUAAAAACAAUAGGAAUUCCGAAAUUCUAUUGCAUUAACUUGUGAAGUAAAAUAUAUAAAUUUGAUAACGCAGAUCAUAAUUGCUGCGGUGUACGUGUGUGUGCGGUUAUUAAAUUAGGCUGUGUUUGGAAUUUUUGUAAAAAUUCCACGUGAAUGUCUUCACAAUCGUCGGCCCGUUAUUUACCAAUAACUAAAAUGGACAAUCCCGCUCUGUCUGGGUCCAGUGGUGAUGUGGAGGCCGAUAGUAAUUCUGUGGAAGCUAGUCUACCCGCCACCUGUUCGUCGCAGCAAUUAAUGCCUUCAUCCUCAGACACGGAUAGCGUUGGUGUACAACCGCCAACUACCGGUAUCACGAGAACACAAUGGUUCACAGUGGUGGUGUUGUGCUUUGUGAAUUUAAUCAACUAUAUGGAUCGCUUUACUAUAGCAGGUGUUUUAACAGAUAUACAAGCAGAUUUUAAAAUCGGUGACGAUGAUGGUGGUCUUCUACAGACCGCUUUUGUGCUCUCAUAUAUGGUUUGUGCGCCACUUUUUGGCUACCUCGGCGAUCGUUAUUCGCGUCGUUGGAUUAUGGCCAUCGGUGUAUUGUUAUGGUCGACAACAACGUUGAUUGGCUCAUUUAUGGGCGGCUUCGGUGGUUUCAUCACAUUCCGCGCAUUAGUGGGUAUCGGAGAAGCUUCAUAUAGUACCAUAGCACCCACCAUAAUCUCCGAUUUGUUCAUACACGAUUUACGUUCGAAAAUGUUGGCGUUAUUCUAUUUCGCGAUACCAGUUGGUUCCGGAUUUGGUUACAUUGUCGGCUCGGAGACUGCGCGCUUGGCUAAUAACUGGCGUUGGGCGCUUCGUGUCACACCCUUACUGGGCAUUGUGGCUGUUGUGCUGAUUAUAUUGAUCAAAGAGCCAGAGCGUGGUGAGAGCGAAGGCUCACCACAUUUGGAACCCACCAGCUACACAGAGGAUAUUAAGGACUUGGUGAAGAAUCAUUCGUUUAUGCUUUCGACAGCUGGUUUCACUUGCGUUGCUUUUGUAACCGGUGCGCUCGCCUGGUGGGGACCUAAAUUCAUUUACCUAGGCAUCAAAAUGCAGCCUGGCAACGAGGAGCUGUCGCUGAAUGACGUUUCGUUACGUUUUGGCAUUAUUACAAUGGUAGCUGGUCUAAUUGGCGUGCCGCUCGGUCCAAUAGUGUCGCGUGCGGUUGCCAGUUACAAGAACAACGCCGAUCCCUUGGUAUGCGCCUAUGGAUUAUUCUUUAGCUCAUUUUUUCUUGCUGCCGCGAUGCUGUUUGUCACAAAAUACGUCGUUAUGUCGUAUAUUUUAAUGUUCAUCGGUCAAUUAUUUUUGAAUCUAAAUUGGGCACUUGUGGCUGAUAUUUUACUGUAUGUUGUCGUGCCGACACGCCGUUCCACCGCCGAAGCCUUCCAAAUUCUGGUCUCGCAUGCAUUAGGAGAUGCUGGCAGUCCCUACUUCGUUGGCUUGCUCUCGGAAGGUAUCAAGCGCCAUUUACGAGCCACUACCACUCAGACCAGUGAGUUCAGUUUGGGUAUACCUAGCAUGUCACUGACUUUGGAAGACAGUAGUCAAAAUAUUACCGACAGCAUAUUGUCGAUUAAUGCCACAACAGAAAACAAGAAUCUCUUAACUCAGGCUGCCAGCGUGGUGAGUGAAAAUGUCACAGCAUUGGUAGCGAAUGCCACAAGUUUAUUACAGCAAAAUGCCACCGAUUUCGUCAGUCAAUUACGUGAGGAGAAAAUACUCGAAUUCGACUUGGAGGACACCGAUAGCAAUAGUUUCAAAGCGCUGCAAUAUUCACUCUUUUCCACAAGUUUUAUUGAAGUUUUGGGUGCCGUUUUCUUCUUUUUAACUGCCAUUUACAUAUUGAAAGAUAAGCGUCGAGCGACGCGUUCCACACUUGUUAACGAAUUAAAUGAUGUUAGCAAUACAGCUAAUAAAAAUACAGAAUUCGAUUUCGAAGAUUCCGAAUGUAUCGUUCUUUGUACUGAUAUUUCGCGAAAACAACGUGCUUGAGGAAACAAAAUUAAUAGCGAAAGUACAAAAAAUAUUCAAAUUUGCCAUUAUUGCGUUGAAUUGCAAUCAAGCAGCUGAGCAGUGAAGUGCACUUCCAAUAAAUUAUGCUAAUGAAUAAUUUAUAAGCCAGUUAUCCGAUUAGCCAGCCAAUCAACCCACAAGCAAUUGAUUAUAUAACAAACCACAUAACCCUUCUAAACUGGGGAUGUGUUGCGCAAAAGGCAAACAUAUAUGACACAUAUGACUGAAAUAUUAGUUUUAACUAAUUAUUUUGUAGUAGUAAUGAUUAUAAUAGAAUCAUGUGUGCCUCAAGAAGUGGGUGUGUUCCUAUUAGAAACGUGUAAAUGGAUAAUUAUGUAAACAUCAAACCAUUCAACAUCAAACACAUAUAUUGAAAUGCAUGUAUAUACAAAAUAAACAUUUAUCAUUCUCAUUUAGCAAACAUCAUUAACCGUUAAGAUGAUUCCUAUUGUGUAUUUAUUUGUAUUAUGAUUUUGAUAUUUAAAAAAUGUAAAAGUUUGUUAAAUGCGCCACUUAAAAGCAUAUCUCAUAUCACAUGUAUGUAUGUAUGUGCAUGUUCAGUGGGUGCGUAGGUUGUGAGUGUGGAAAAUGCAUACGACCACGUAUGUGGUCGAAAGCUCAGUGAUAGAAAUCAUAAGAAUUACAAUACAAUAAAAAAACAAACACCAAUUUUUAUGUGAAAAUACAAAUUGUAUGUAUAUUUUGCUGAAUAGUAUUUAAUAAUUUUACAAUUUCGUUUAUUAAAAUUUUUACUCACGAACCACUCAUUGCCCUAUGCGGUGCGCAUGUUUAUUUUACCGCUAACUGAACAUUUAAUAUUAUAUUUAUGACAUAUAUGGUAUAUGUACAUACAUAGAUGUAUAUAGCUUAAGUUUUUUUAUUUUUAAAUACGUUUACUCAGACAACAAGCAUUGUAAAAAGAAAUAAAGAAAAGUACGAGUAAGGGUACUAAAUGCACAUUAGGUAUAUAAAUUAGUUAGCAUUACAAUAAUUAGAUAAAAACUAAUUUCUAAAUAAACUAGUGGAAUAAGCAGUGAUGUAAGAAGCGGGUGUGCAUUACAACUAUUUCUCUGGUAGUUUUUUUUACCUGAAAACUUCUAAUUUAUAUAAAAACACAAUAGCUUAAAUUCUUUUAAAAAAUUGUAAUUUUAGAACACUAGAAAAUUAUAAAAUUGGCACAUUUAUUGUAUAUUAACUGCCUUUCCCAACUAACUUUAUUUAAAUUACUUAUUUUGCCUGCCGUUUAUAAAUUAUUGUAUAUGCAUACCCCUUCCCUACCGUAAUGAAUCUGUUAGUUUUAUUAAAUUUCGCAAUGGAGCAGAAUUCAUGAAAUAAGACUGUUUUAGGAUGUGUUAUAUAUACAUAUAUUAUAUAUAAAUUUAAAAUAACUUGAUUAAAAAUAUAUUGUAAUGAAUAAAACUUGUACGCAUAGCAGGUAAAUACAUAAAUGUUCUUAUACAUAUAAA